GAUCACCUUACAAUCCAAUGGCUCAGAUCACUCCCCAACGUCCCACGCGGCCACGCAACGAUCCCCUUUUGGUUUCUGCGCUCUCUCCCUCUGAAUCCCCUGAUUCCCCGAUCCCAUUCCCUUCCCCUUGCGAACUCUAGCGUCUUCCUCUCAAGCGCCGCCGCAGUCGUGUUGCCCCCUGAUCAUCCGCCGCCAGAUCGCCGUCUUUGCUGUCCUCUUAGGUGCAGCCGCUGCGCACACCCACGGUGCGCACCUCCCUUCCCCGGUUCCCCUGCCCAGUGCUGCCCCCCUCCCUUCACCGUGCAAAACCCUAAGCGCCGCCACUACAAGCAGGUACCUUUGCCGCCAGGAGAUCGCCCUCAUGUCACCUCGCUGCCGUCUCACCAGAUCAUCGACGCACCGCCUCGCCAUACCGGUCCGGCGUCGACUCUGCACACGCUUCAGGUCUACCACGACAACUCUUUCAAGGGGAUCAGGGCAGGACAGAAGGAACACUAUGACCAUGUCCCCAUGGCCCAUGUCCAUGUACGCAUCAAGCUCCUAAGUGAUAAUCUGAUUGCCUGCUGA
rnacentral:lncRNA from 1 species